rnacentral:rRNA from 1 species
AUGAUUAAUCCUCAUCCUUUCCUUGGGAGACAAAGGGUAGGCACGUUUGCCGCGCACGCGAAGAGGUCCUGGCUCGGCCUCGCCGAGGACACCGCAACCACCUUGCCCCGUCUCGGCCUAGGGCGCACUUCGGGAAGGAGAAAACAAACAUCUUCCUUCUCUGGCACCGAAGGGGGUCCCUACCCCCUCGCCAUGGCUCGUGGCGCCGUAUCGUCGGGAUCCAGAGAAAGCUCACCCGAGAGAUGGAAUAAUGUCGUCCUCUCUUCGCUAGGUGACCACCGGGCGACCCCCUCAAUUUGGGAAGUGCCUGCCAGUUUCACCGCCACAGGAAUACACCCAACUAGUUGGAGAAGAUUGCUUCAAGUUGUCGAACGCCGAAAGGGAUGCAGCACACCCCACCCCUCACCUGCAGACCCUCCCAUCCGAACCCAAUGUCCUUGGCGCCGCCUCCAGGAAUGUUACGAUGCACGGGGUGCCACCGACGCCCGAUCCGCAUCGGAUCUUGGGCUUUCACCCGGACAUGGGUCGGAGUGGAGAGAUGGUGUCCUCAGUAGCGCCCCCAAGGAGGAAAGCGGCGCCAAAAGACGACGUCGCUGCUGCCGGCCAGCCAAGGCGGCCAAGGGUUCCCUCGGACACCAAUCUGCUCCACCAGAACACACCAGAGGCAGAUCUGGCAAGAUCCAAAGCCGAACCGGGGACUGGGAGGGGAAGCAUGGAGGGGAGGGGGCAAUACCUUCAGAUCUAGCACGGGAAGCUCCGCACCGUGCUCGACCACCACCUAGACGGGAGCGGGGGGAGGGGGUGCACCUCUCUUCUUCCCCUUCUCCACCACUGACCGACCGUAGGAAUAGGAUGCCUCUGCUUCCCGUGCGGGCUGCGGCCUCGCCCAUGCAUAGCGCCGCCGGCCGCCGCAUCUCCUGCGCCAUCAGCCCCUUUGUCCACGAUGCGCCACCGCGUGCGCGAGCUCCACUGGAUAAUACUGGAAUAGCCAGACAUGGCCGCCUCAUCUCGACGCCUUUCGCCUUGUCCGACGACCUCCUGCCUCUCAACCGGCUCCGGGGGAUGACUUGGAAUGGGUGGGAAGCGCAGAGGCCGGGCACAAGAGCAGUCAACAUUGGCGCCCCACAUCACAUGGCCACGAAGGAGCAGCAAGAAGAAAAUUCUAGCACGGUUCGGUUUGCAAGGUUCGACGAAUCUAGAGCCUGCGAGUCUUGCAUCUGGUCAAAUAUAUCUGCUACGAAUGUUCAGCAUCUUGUUUCUGCUGGGCCAUCAGACUUACACGCGGUGCUUCCGGGAAUUAACUUCAUGAAUCCAGCCAAGCAUUUGCGGCAGGCAAACCGUGCAAUGGUUCUCCGGGAACAAUCAACAAUAUCAGUAGACUAUUUAUCUGUGAAGGACAUCAGCCCCUGUAACUGGACUGGCGUUGCCUGCAACAAUGACCAGGGUGACCCUGCCGUAGUUGUGCGGUGGAUUCAACUUCCACAUUGGGGCCUUGUUGGCAGGUUGGACAGGCUCCACUUUGCAGACUUGCCUCAUCUUGUCUAUCUAAACCUUGGAGACAACUCUCUCUCGGGGCCAAUCCCAUCAAGUAUUGGUGCUCUUGCGGAGCUCAACUACUUGGAUCUAUCUAGGAAUGGCCUGAAGGGAUCUAUCCCAACAUCCAUAGGUUAUGGAUCUGUCUUCAGAGUUGAGCUGGAAGACAGGAUGAUCUUUGUUGUAAAGGAGGUGCACCAGAGGUGGAAGGCGCGUCAGGGGAAACAUCCUCAGUACAAGGGCGGCGAGUAUAGUGGAGAGGAAACGGUGAGAGAGGGCGACAGACUUGAGAUGAUGGUGGAGAGGUGGAGGAGGAGGAUGGGAAAGAUGGUGUCGGUGCCGGCCGGACGCUUGGAAACAGAGCAGCCUGGUGACCUGCCACCGUUGUCGUGCCUCCUCCCCCACCAGCCAUGGCCACGGCAGAGGCGGACUCCCACAGCUCGCGCGGCUCCCUGCCUGCGCCACCUAGGCCCUAAUCUGGUCACACACCGACAGGGUCAGCACCACCGGAGCCCACCGUGCCCCACCAAGCCUCAACCCCUUCAUGCCGCCACCAGCAGCCCGCGUCUCUGCUUCCUGCUGCUGCCGCUGCACCCCGAGAAAAAUGCUGCGCCGCUGCCAGAUCUUGGAUCCCGCGUUCGUUGGCCCGAGCGGGCGAAGGAGGAACUGAACCUAACUUGUACAAGAGUUGAGCGAGGGGAUGUCCCGCAGAUCAAACCAGUCACCCGUAGGCUCGCAUCGGCGCCAUGCGCCACCUCUCGCCGUAGACGUCGCCACCGGAGGUUCACCGUCGAGGCCACCGGCUGCGUCCCUGCCCUUCCUCAUCUCCCUCACUUCUGUUCGUCUCUAGCUCCUCACCUUCGAAGCUCUCUCUCCCUGGAACCGCAGCUAGCCAGGAAGGAGGUCAGCUGCCACCGGCGUCCCUCCGACUCGCCGGAGCCGCCCGUGGUCGACCCAUCCGGCUGCCAUCCGCCAGAUCCAUCCCAGCCCCGCCGGAGUCGUCCGUCGUCGACCCAUCCGGCUGACUUCGGCCAGAUCCACGCCAGCCCCGCCGGAGUCCACGCUCUCACCGUUCCGCUGCCGCCGCCACACUGCUUUGACCACAUCGCUAGCUCCGUAUCUGUUUGCGAUCGGGUUGUAUUUUUCCUUGGAUUAAGGAAGCGAUCUAUAUGGGGGUGUACGCCGCGGGACAAUUUGCUUCGGCAGAGUUUUCGUCCGCCAGUCAGAGGGUGCCUCAACAUCCCUUGGUCGGGAACAGAGAACGAGGGGCAGAGCCAAAACGGGAGUGAAAUCGGAUGGACUGACGAAAUCAACAUCACCUGGUCGCUGGAGUUUCUGCGCAUGCCGGGCCCAUGGUCGAGGUGUAGCGGCACUCGUAAUGCUGUAGUAGCCGUGUCGCCUGCGAUUGCCUCCCUGGUGGCUGCUGGAGUGGCUCCACCAUCCUCAUACAUGCUUGAACUUGAAUGGAAUAGACGCAUCCUAGCUACUAAGAGUUCGGCUGGUAUGGGGCUGCCAUGGUCGGCUUGUAUGGGCAACCCAUGUAACGAGGUUAUACACCAUGCCAGGAACCUUCUCAGGACGGGUGAACAAAAUAUAGUAAAAUUUUGUUGUUCCCUGUUUAACAACCUUCAAUUGCAAGCCGAGACAGAAGCUCUUCGUUUGCUCAUUCUCCCUGAUCUGAAAUUAUGGGUGAUGGCAGAUGCGCAGAAUUAUGUGCCUGGAGAAGACUUCUCUAGAGAUUUUGAGAUGUUCUUCUACGCUCCCGUUACUGUCGGAGCUGAGAAGUUCGAAAUGGGUGUAAAGAAUAUAGGGAAGUUCAGCAAUUUUCAGCACAGAUGGUACAGCAGUUCUGCAAAUGAGUUCAGCAUGAGGACAAGACAUAAAAAGGUGAAAAAGGAAGAAGAAGAAGAAAAGGCUGGCGACAUGGGGGCGUGGGCGCAGGGGACAAAACAUGUCAUCGUAAUCUCACCUUCUCCUACGCUCCGGGCCCUUGUCGCCCUUGACGCGCCGCCGUAUCUGCGAGCUCCCCCGCCAGCGCUGUCGAGUAUGCAACUGAGCGGCCUCGGGUCACGCCGUUCGCCUGCCCGACCUCACCUCUCUCAGUCGGCUCCGGAGAGAGGAGGACAUCGGAUCGGAUGGGAGGUGCCACGGGCCCACGACCAGGAGCAGGUGCGCAGCUUCCCCAAAUCCAAUCAAGUCGCAUUUCCUUAA